AGCCUGGUGGUUUUAAAGAAAGAUCCUCUUUGACUCCCUGCCUGUCACCUCUGCUGAAAACCCCAGUCUAGCUCACUGUCCCAGGCAUGUUGUGGGCCCUAGUGCUGCCUUUGGUUUUCCUGGCUCUUGUCACUCAGGUAUCUUCCAACGCAAAAGGGGCCCAGAUGUCAGUCACUGGCAAGACUUGGGAGACUGCUUCUUUCACUUGUGAUCUUGCACAAGAUGCCACGUAUAUCCACCUUUACAAACAACAGGAGGGGAUGGCUCCCCGACGCCUUUUCUACUAUGAUGUCUACUACUCCAAGAUUCAGUUCGAAUCAGGAACCAAUAAAGAAAAAUACAGUGUUUAUAAAGGUGCAGGAAGGAGCUACAGGUUUGCAAUCCUAAAUCUGGAACACAGUGAUUCCGGGAUAUACUACUGUGCUGUCUGGGAUAAGCACGUCGGUUCAGACUUCCUGUACACUGCACUGGAAAUUCUGCUUGUGGCUGCCAAGUGCAGCUCUGAUAACAACCCCUGCCUCACUUCUUCCCCCAGAUUUUCUUUACUCUGGACAAAGAGAAACCCUGAGCUCAAUGCCCAUUUCUGAAGUUUUAUCUUCUAUAGCCACCUCCUCCCUCUCCACAACAGCCAUAGUUUUUCCUGAAAACAGACCUUCAUCCCCAGGCUGUAAGCAAGCAAUAUAGCAGGCAGCAUAUCCUCACUCUCCUAGGAACUGAUAGAGUUCAUAUAAUUUUUUCUUUAGAACAAAGAGGGGAUCUAGGAUUGAUCUCUUAGGAAAGACAUUUAGAAGAGCAAAAUGGAAAGGCUAGACAAUAUGGAAUCAUUAAUUCCAUCAUUAUCCAGAGAAAAUGGCUGGGGA